rnacentral:rRNA from 1 species
GGGUGACAGGUGGUGCAUGGUUGUCGUCAGCUCGUGUCGUGAGAUGUGGGUUAAGUCCCGCAACGAGCGCAACCCUCGCCUCAGUUGCCAGCAUCGGUUGGGCACUCUAGAGGGACUGCCGGCGACAAGUCGGAGGAAGUGGGAUGACGUCAAAUCAUCAUGCCCCUUAUGACCUGGGCUACACACGUGCUACAAUGGGCGGUACAAAGGGCUGCGAACCCGCGAGGGGGAGCGAAUCCCAAAAAGCCGCUCUCAGUUCGGAUUGCAGGCUGCAACUCGCCUGCAUGAAGCCGGAAUCGCUAGUAAUCGCGGAUCAGCAUGCCGCGGUGAAUACGUUCCCGGGCCUU